rnacentral:rRNA from 1 species
CCUACGGGUGGCAGCAGUGGGGAAUAUUGCACAAUGGGGGAAACCCUGAUGCAGCGACGCCGCGUGAGUGAAGAAGUAUUUCGGGAUGUAAAGCUCUAUCAGCAGGGAAGAGGAAAGACGGUACCUGACUAAGAAGCCCCGGCUAACUUCGGUACCGCAGCCGCGGUAAUACGGAGGGGGCAAGCGUUGUACGGAUUUACUGGGUGGAAAGGGAGCGUAGACGGCUGUGCAAGGCUGAAGGGAAAGCCCAGGGCUCAACCCUGGGACUGCUUUGGAAACUUUGGAGCUAGAGUGCUGGGGAGGUAAGUGGAAUUCCUAGUGUAGCGGUGAAAUGCGUAGAUAUUAGGAGGAACACCAGUGGCGAAGGCGGCUUGCUGGACAGUAACUGACGUUGAGGCUCGAAAGCGUGGGGAGCAAACAGGAUUAGAUACCCUAGUAGUC